ACGGGGUGCAGCAGGCGCGAAACUUUCGCAAUGCGCGACAGCGUGACGAAGGUAAUCCGAGUGCUUUCCGAAGGGAAAGCUUUUCACAACUCUGAACCGGUUGUGGAAUAAGUGGUGGGUAAAUCCUGUGCCAGCCGCCGCGGUAACACAGGUAGCACUAGUGGUGUCCGCGAAUACUGAGCUUAAAGCGUGCGUAGCCGGCUAAGCAAGUUUCCUGUCAAAUCUUCUCGCUUAACGAGAAGGCGCGCAGGAAAAACUACUUGGCUUGAGAGUGGGGGAGGCCAAGAGUACGCUAGGGGGAGCGGUAAAAUGCUUUAAUCCUUAGCGGACUACCAGUGGCGAAGGCGCUUGGCUAAAACACGUCUGACGGUGAGGCACGAAGGCCAGGGGAGAGAACCGGAUUAGAUACCCGGGUAUUCCUGGCAGUAAAUGAUGCAGACUUGGCGUUGCAGUUACCUCGAGUGGCUGCAGUGCCGUAGAGAAAUCGUUUAGUCUGCCGCUUGGGGAGUACGGUCGCAAGACUUAAACUUAAAGGAAUUGGCGGGGGAGCACCACAAGGGGUGGAUGCUGCGGUUCAAUUGGAUUCAACGCCGGGAAACUCACCAGCAGAGACGGCAGGAUGAAGCUCAGACUAAAGAUCUUAGCCAACAAGCCGAGAAGUGUUGCAUGGCCAGCGUCAGUUCGUGCCGUGAGGUGUCACGUUAAGUCGUGCA
rnacentral:rRNA from 1 species